UACGGAGGGUGCAAGCGUUAUCCGGAUUCACUGGGUUUAAAGGGUGCGUAGGUGGGCAGGUAAGUCAGUGGUGAAAUCUUUGGGCUUAACCCGAAAACUGCCAUUGAUACUAUUUGUCUUGAAUAUUGUAGAGGUCAGCGGAAUAUGUCAUGUAGCGGUGAAAUGCUUAGAUAUGACAUAGAACACCAAUUGCGAAGGCAGCUGGCUACACAUAUAUUGACACUGAUGCACGAAAGCGUGGGGAUCAAACAGG
rnacentral:rRNA from 1 species